rnacentral:rRNA from 1 species
UACGUAGGGAGCAAGCGUUGUCCGGAUUUAUUGGGCGUAAAGGGCUCGUAGGCGGUUCGGUAAGUCGGGUGUGAAACCUCCAGGCUCAACCUGGAGACGCCACCCGAUACUGCUGUGACUUGAAUCUGGUAGGGGAGCACGGAAUUCCUGGUGUAGCGGUGAAAUGCACAGAUAUCAGGAGGAACACCGGUGGCGAAGGCGGCUACCUGGCCCAACAUUGACACUGAGGCCCGAAAGCGUGGGGAUCAAACAGG